GGGGAAGGAACGUAGCUCAGUGGUAGAGCAUCUCCUUUGCAUACAGAAGCCCUGGGUUCAAUCCCCAAUGACUUCUCCA